rnacentral:lncRNA from 1 species
AAAAUAGCGAUAUUUAAUAGUCUUUUGGCUAAAUAUAUUCCUAAAUUGUUGUUUUUAUGUUUAAUAGGUGGAUUUCUACGAAUAAAAAGGAAUGAAAGGGAAGAAGCAAAAACAGGCGGAAAUAGCAAAAUCCCAAGUACGUGGAUUAAAUUGGCCAUUGGAUACAAUUUUUGGGAAUCAAAGUCUAACUAUAAAAAUUGGACUGAUUUGCAUCGCUUCAAAAAUUGAGUACUGGGAUAAAAAUAAUUGAUUAAAUGGCCUUCAAUUGGACUGGCCUUGGAAUUCAAAUUUAAUACUAUGUUGGACUCCAAAUUAGACUAGAAAAAAAGGGCUUCAUGCGGCUGAUUUCACAUAUAUAUAAUGACAUUCUGGCAAAAAGACGAGAGAGUAGCCUGGGGAAAAUAGAGACUUAUACAUUGUCGGCCGCUGAAUUUAUAGAGAUCCAAAAAUUACAAGAGGCGGCAGUUGGAGGGAUUCAGAUACAUAGAGCUGUUGGUUGGAAUUAUAUAUAUAUCUGUGCACACAAUUUGAGGCCAAAAACAGCCAAUAAUAUACAAUUGACACACAUAUUUGGGGCUACCCAGGGAUUGAGAAAACGAGAAGAGUUGCAGCUGGCUUAUUAUCUAUUUAUACAAAUACAUUGGCAGCAGCUUUGGAGGGCCAAUUUAAUAUAUUGAUACGCACAGAAACCAAAGCCAGGUGAAGGAGGUGGCUGCUUUGGCAUUCAAUUCAUAAUACACGCACAAGAAAACGGGCUGUCCACUGCUAGAACUAUUAUAUAUACGCGCAGACAAAAAUUUGGAAGAAGAGGCAGAACAUACACGCACAACAGGAGCUGGAAUUGAAGGAAAAAAAUCACGCAAAAAAAGAUUGGCUCAUAACUGGAAUCAAU